UACGUAGGGGGGCAAGCGUUGUCCGGAAUCAUUGGGCGUAAAGAGCGUGUAGGCGGCCCGAUAAGUCCGCUGUGAAAGUCCAGGGCUCAACCCUGGGAGUGCCGGUGGAUACUGUCGGGCUCGAGUCCGGAAGAGGAGUGUGGAAUUCCCGGUGUAGCGGUGAAAUGCGCAGAUAUCGGGAGGAACACCGGUGGCGAAGGCGGUUCUCUGGGCCUUACCUGACGCUGAGGAGCGAAAGCGUGGGGAGCGAACAGG
rnacentral:rRNA from 1 species